rnacentral:rRNA from 1 species
CAGUAGCCACGGGAAUACGAAGGGUGCAAGCGUUAAUCGGAAUUACUGGGCGUAAGCGUGCGUAGGCGGUGAGUUAAGUCUGCUGUGAAAUCCCCGGGCUCAACCUGGGAAUGGCAGUGGAUACUGGCAAGCUAGAGUGUGUCAGAGGAUGGUGGAAUUCCCGGUGUAGCGGUGAAAUGCGUAGAGAUCGGGAGGAACAUCAGUGGCGAAGGCGGCCAUCUGGGACAACACUGACGCUGAGGCACGAAAGCGUGGGGAGCAAACAGGAUUAGAUACCCCAGUAGUCCCUGUCUCUUAUACA